AUGGGUCUGGGACCCAGUUUUGGUUGGACCCCUAGCUGGAGGGCGAGCCUCUCCGCUUGCGGUUCCCGAGGCUCUUUGCGAUUUGUGACGACCCCGGCCAUCCUUGUUCCUGCGGCUGCUUUGGAUGAGGGAUGGAACAUUGCGUUCCGCCGCUCAUUCGGGCCAGAUGAGGUACGGGAAUGGACAGACCUGAGGGAAGUAGUCCCUCUUCCUCUGUCCCAGGACCCUGACACUGUUUCUUGGAGCCUUUCUCCUUCGGGUGAAUUCUCCGUUAGUUCGGCCUACCAGGCAUUAUGUCGUGUGCCGGUUCUACAGUGGCUAUCCCCACUGUGGAAGGCACCGACGCCCUUGAAGAUUAAGAUCUUCAUAUGA
rnacentral:rRNA from 1 species